AUUAAGUUUUUUAUUUUAUUUGGAAGUUUUGUUUUAGAUUAAAAGAAGUAGAUUAAUUUUUAUUAUAUUAAAGAAAAAAUUUAUAAUAAUUAUAGUGAAUUAGUAUUGUGAGAGAAUUAGUUUAUAUUAAAAAUAAGAAAAUUUAAAAUAUUGUACCUUGUGUAUCAGGGUUGAUUAAAUAUUGAUUAAAAAUUUUAAUUUUUCCGAAUUUAAAAGAGUUAAUAAUUUAUAUAUUUUAUUGUAGAAUAAAUAUUUUUAAUAAAUUAUUAGUAAUGAAACGUUAUUCGUUUUUAAAUAUAUCUGGUUUUUAAAGAAAUUAAUUUAAUUAAGUUUUUAUUUAUUAUUAAAUUAAUUUUUUAAUUUAAUUUUAAUAAAAGUUUAUAUUUUUAGGGAAAAGCUUGAAAAUAAAUUUUUAUAAGUUUAUAAAUUUUGUAUAAAAUGUAGGAUUAAAAUUUUUUAUCAUUAAGAAAAUGUUAUAAUUAAUUAUAUUUGAAUAUAAUUUUUAUUAAGUUUAAGUUUUUUAUUUAAAUUUUAAUUUUAAUUAAAAAAAUUAAGUAAUAAUGAUUAAAUUAGUAUAAUAAUAUGUAAAUAUAAAUAUAUUUAUAAGUUUAGUUAAAGGAAUUCGGCAAAAAUUUUUUCCACCUGUUUAUUAAAAACAUGUCCUAUAGAUAAUAUUUUUAGGUCUGUCCUGCCCACUGAUUUUAUUAAAUGGCCGCGGUAUUUUGACCGUGCAAAGGUAGCAUAAUCAUUAGUUUUUUUAUUGAAAGCUGGAAUGAAGGGAUGAAUGAGAAAAUUUCUGUCUCUAAUUAAUUAAUAGAAUUUUAUUUUUAAGUUAAAAAGCUUAAAUUAUUUUAAAAGACGAGAAGACCCUAUAGAGUUUAAUAAUUAAUAGUUUAUUUUUUUUUGGUUUUAAAAUUUAAUUUAUUUUUAAUUAUUUAGUUGGGGUGAUUGAAAAAUUUAAUUAACUUUUUUUAUAUUUAGACAAAUAUAUUUGAGUCUUUGAUCCGUUUACAUGAUUAAAAGAAAUAAUUACCUUAGGGAUAACAGCGUAAUUUUUUUAGAGAGUUCUUAUCGAAAAAAAAGUUUGCGACCUCGAUGUUGGAUUAAAAUUUAAAUUUGGUGUAGAAGCUGAGUUUUUUAGUCUGUUCGACUAUUGAAAUUUUACAUGAUCUGAGUUUAAACCGGUGUGAGCCAGGUUGGUUUCUAUCUUUAAAUAAAAAUAAUAUUUUAGUACGAAAGGACCAAAUAUUAAAUUUAAAAUUUAAUUUUUGAAUAAUAU
rnacentral:rRNA from 1 species